UCCCGUCCUCUUCCCUCUCUGAUCACCUGGCUCUCUUCCUCUGCUGUCUCAUCCAGACCGCUCAAAGACAGGGUCGCUAAGAAAAUAAACGCAGAAAGCCCUACUUUAUUCUGAAACCCACGUUAUAGCGUUUGUUUACGUAACUUGCCGGUAGCAUCAACUAGCUCAACAUCAGCAAACA